AGGAGGGAGGGAGGAAGAGGCGCAGCGGCAGCAGGGAGCAGCCGGAGAAGAGCAGAGAAGGAAUCGCGGGGCCCUGGCGCUGCCUGAAGUCGCCGCAGCCCCGGGAGCAUCGCCCCCCAUCCCGCAGCCCCCACGUGUGGGAUCAUCGCCCCCCAUCCCGCAGGAUUCCCCAUUCCCAGCCCCUGGGAGGCUGCGAGGAAGAGGAAGAUCCUCUCCUUGUCCUUCCUCCCCCAGAGCAGGAGCUGAGG